CCGACGUCUUUCUUGCCAUCCUUUGCUUACCCUGUAAGGAUAAACUAAAUUCCAGCUGGUACGGCGACAAGACGGCCAAGUCCCCAUCAGUCUCACCGGUCAGGUUUCCUCCGACGGAGGCAGGGCAGGCUCAGUGAUGCACCUCCUCGCCGCCUACGAGUUGUGCCUGCUCCUACUGGUCGUCACACUGCUUCCGGUAGCGACUCCCAUGCCGCCCGUCGGGGCAGCGCUGCGCAACGUCGGACGACGCCCAUACAUUCCCAUACGGUCCGGUAUCCUCCUCUUUCUGUUCAUCUCCGGCAAGCUCCUUCGGGCUCUCGCGGUGGCUGGGAAAGAGGCAACCUCUGAAGUGCACCUCCUCGCCGCCUACGUGGUGUGGCUGCUCAUGCUGGUCGUCACGCUGAUGCCGGUGGUGAUUCCGAGGCCGCCGCUUGAGGGGAGGGUGGCCCUGCUGAUCCCUCCCGUCGUCGUUCGUGCAAGGGGAGCGCUACGCAACGUCGGACGACUCCCAUACAUUCCCAUACGGUUCGGUUUCCUCCUCUUUCUGUUCAUCUCCGGCGAACUCCGUCGGGCCAUAUGAGAAUGACAUGUUUGACUUCACCAUGAUAAUAUGUCGAUGGGAUGAUGACCGAUGGCGAGGUUUCGAUAUUUCUCCAUUUAUGUCACAAUCAUAGUAUCAUCAUGCUUGACAAUAAACUUCAAUUUCUAUAUAUAUUAAAUUGAUAUGUGUUGGUA
rnacentral:lncRNA from 1 species